UAGCUAGUUAUGGCUCUGGCUCCUCAUCAAGCAGAGGAGGGAUUUGAAUGCAUGUCUCCCACAUCAUCCUGGGUGUCUGCUCUAACCACUGGACUAUUAGGUAAAAAGGGGCAGCACUAUCAUUAUUUUGAAUGAGGCCCAAUCCAGUAGGUGGCCUCUGAGCACACCCACCCCACUGGCAAGAUACAGGGGGAAUGCUUAGUUUGUGAAUCCAACCAGCUGUGUGCAUGUCCACAAGUAGAAAUUUAGGCAUCUAAGGGAUUUUAUUGACAGAAAUAUAGGCACUUAGAGAAUUUAUGCACCAGCCAAGCAGAGAUUUUGAGGACCUACAUUUUUUAAUUAGAUCCCUGAAGUGGCAGUUAAAUGUCUAAAUCCCUUCAUGGAUCUUCCUAGGGAGCCUUGCACAUUUGCACUAGGUAUGUGCAAUCUUGAGCCUUGCAUUCUUAGUACGCAAGGACCCCAAAGGAACUGGAAGUGAGAGGGACUAUUCCUCCCAUGUUGGCCAGCAGAGCAAAGGUAGUGCAGAGGAGUGUACAUGCUUCAUUCUCUCAAAGAUUUGCAGCUUCUGCACAGAUGUUUUCCCCUAAAGGUGCUCUGACUGAAUGAGCAAGAAUGCCUAAGGGACCGCACGCAAAGAAGGACAUACCUCUACAUCCCACAGAUGGGGCUUUGACUAUAAAAGCCAGAACAAAGCCCUACACUUGAAGAAGGAGAGGUACUGGUAAGUACUUGGACCACAGAUCUCUUGGAGAUUACAUAUGAAUGGCACCCUUCAAUUAAUCCGCUUUCACAAGAAAUUCCAAGUUCAAUCAGCUGUAAUUAUGAGCCUAUUUCCUGAUGCAAUCAUUAUAAAAGUAGAAGCCUCUCCCCGCCCCACCACACAGAUCACAGCUGCUGAAUUUGUAUUCACUGUGAAUGGAUGAGACCUUGGAUGCUGUAGCAGGUUCAGUCUGGUUUUCCACACUGGAUAUUAAAAGUGAUACUGGUGGUUGAAAGCAACAGAUGUCUGAUGAAGUGGGUAUUCACCCACGAAAACUUAUGCUCCAAUACAUCUGUUAGUCUUAAAAAAAUAAUCCUGCAAGGUCCCAAAUACUGGCAACUGUUAAAGCCAAAGGAGCAACAAUAUCUACACACAAGAACAAUGAAGAAACACAAUUUGCUGAUGAAGAGGAUCAUUUUCCUCCUGGUGGAGCUUUUCACUUUACACUAUAAAGUUGCACGCCAUGUGUACUCUUUAUCAUCCCAACUUCUCCCUAAUUUCAAGCUAUACAAAAAAAACCAGAGUAUUCUGUUAAUAAGCAAAAACCCAACCCCAAUUGCUACUAACUUUAGAUGGAGCUAGCAGUGACAUCUAUAGUUAAAGUUGCCUAACACUUUCCAUUAUAACACCCUGUUUACAGGUGCUUGUAACUUUUCCAAAUUUAAACUGUUGGAUUGGAAUUUUCCAUGCUGGGUGUCUGCCUCAGAUUAAAUUUUUUGUGACAGUCUCAGCAAAAGUAGCUUAGCCCAUUCCAAGAAUAAGGUUAGGGAAAAGACAAUGUUUUGCCCAUGUUAAAAAAAUUCUUACAAUUGUUUCAGUGAGAAGCUCUACCACCUCCUUGCUUUAGAGCAGGGACUUGCAAUUUGGCAGGAGAUUGCCCUAGUGUCAGGGAUGUGCCUUUUGCUCUCUCCAUAUAUAUUAUGUAAAAAUCCAGCUCAAUUUAUAUGCCUCAGAGAUGUAGUUCACACAUGCUCUGUAGAGGUUUGUUAUAGGCUGGCAGCAUUACUUGCUGAAGAUUUUGUCUGCACUGAACAUGUUCCGCCCGCACCCCGUCCCCCUCCCCGCAACGCCUACAUACUAGCUGGACUGAACAUACUCCAACUGCAUAGAACACCUAAACUUGCUCCAACCCAGAGCUGCUGGGGCUAAGAAGAACUUUCGCUGCAAUUGCUUCUCUUGGCUAUCAAGGUCUGCUGUGGCAGCCGGUACCAGAACUGAGAGGAUGGAGACAGUCUCUUUUAAGCUUUCAGUGCUCCCUCUCCUGGUGUCCUGGCUGUAUGGUGGAAGGGGUAACAGUCUGACUUGAAAAAAUAGGAUACGAUAGGAGCAGAGAGUGACAGAUACUUGGAGGAUAGGUGUAGAGAGGGACAGAGACUGGGACAAGAAUCAGAGGAUUGGAAGCAAAAGCCUAGGGUGACAAGAACAGGCACUGCAGAGGAGGAAAUGAACAGGAGCUGGGGGAGAGAGAUAGGAACAGGACAGGGAUAGGCUCAGGGCAGGAAUGGAAAGAUCUGUGACCACUAGACCACCUCCUCUACAGAAUUUGGAACUGAACUAAGGUGAUCAGACAGCAAGUGUGAAAAAUUGGGACAGGGGGUAGGAGGUAAUAGGCACCUAUAUAAGACAAAGCCUCAAAUAUCAGGACUGUCCCUAAAAAAUCAUGACACCUGGUCACCCUAAACUGAAUCAGGAUUCAUUAAUCUAAACAUUCCUUUUCUGUCUAGCAAAUAGCUGUGAGUCACAGAGAUACCCACUACCAAAAUAAGUCUCAUCUCCCUCUAGUCCUCCCAGAUACUCUGUUAGUUCCGGUGGUAGAUCUGUAUAGCAGAUCCUACUGAUGAAUCAUGUGGAAGUAAAUAUGAUUCCAUAUGAUAGAAUUCUUUUUAGUUUACUUUUCAAAAAUUUAGUCUUUUUAAAUGUAAUUUCCUAUGUUAAAAUAAUAUAAAGGUGCAAAGUCAAGUGUUCAAAACUUAGGAAAUGCUAGAAUUAAGGUUGCCUUUACAACCUUAAUUUGUCCCCCUUGUGCAUAUGUACUCUGCCUCAUUCAGAGUACAGGAUGGACUGUGUUCCAGCAAUGAAUCAAAGUUUUGGAGUUAAUGAGGGUUUGAUGGUACCUCCCAUAAGGCUCUAUGGAAAUAUGCUUAGAAUGUGUUUUAUGCUACAUAUGCCAUGUAACAUAUCUCUGUAAAGGUUAUGAUCUACUGAAUGUAUUAAUACUAUUUGCA